ACGAAAGCUUAAACUCCAGGACUUGGCGGUGCUUCACAUCAACCUAGAGGAGCCUGUCCUACAAUCGAUACUCCCCGUUUUACCUCACCGCCUCUUGUACUCAGCCUAUAUACCGCCGUCGAAAGCCUACCUUUUGAAAGAACAAAAGUAAGCAAAACAGUUAACAACUAACACGUCAGGUCAAGGUGUAGCCCAUGAAGCGGCAGAGAUGGGCUACAUUUUUAAAAAAUACACGGAAAAUACACUGAAACCCGUAUUUGAAGGUGGAUUUAGCAGUAAGAUGGAUAAGAACAAACAUCUUAAACUAGCCCUGAAGCGCGC
rnacentral:rRNA from 1 species